GAACAAAUUAUUUAAUUAGUCGAUUCUUCUGUCUAAACUGUGAUUGAUAAUGUUGCAGGAAAAAACAUUUGAGAUGCGAUAGUAGUCGGUGAUAGUGCUGAUGCUGGUUGUAGAUGUCGCUAGUGGAGUACUGCUGCUUUCUUCUCAUUAAGAUGUCACGGAAGAAAAAUCGGACUACGGGCACCGGGAUUUAAACCCGAGUCUCGAACGUUUGUAACCAAAGACGCUAACCAUUGCGCUGUUGUCGUCCGGUCAAAGCUGUUGUCAAGUGCCGCUACACAUUUACAUGUGAGAUUACAGAUUUCUAUUCGACGUCCAGAUAAAAUUUCAUUGUAUAAUCUCUCCGAAGCGAAGGUGUCAGAUUUCAUGGUUUCUGCACCUACAAACACACACACCUACGAGGCUGUGACUGCCCAAAUACUGUUUUACUUCAGUGGCGAUACUCGGCAAGUUGCGCAACUAGUUGCAAGUGGGCAAGAGACCUAACAAAUUCUCGUAGAUUGGAAGGGGAAAACUGCAGCGUGACAGCGAUAGUCGUAUGAAUCGUUCAACGUUGGGAACGUGAAGCCAUUCUCACGCGUGUUUGCUCACUGUUCCCAGCAACGCUAGAACAAUUCCAUCGAAUUGCCUUUUAACCUUCCACUGAUACUGAUGAAACGUCGCGUUUUUCCGCGCUCGCGUUCUCCACGCGAUCGUCCGUGUUACAUAGCACGCGAACCUCUUCCCAAAAUCAUUUCUUCACUCGUACUUGCUUAUCGAAAUUAAUUAUCAAAAAUAAAUACCAAGUUAAGUACAAUUAUAUAUUAUAAUUUAAUAUAUAAUAAAUGUAUAAUAAUUAUUAUAUAAUAAGUACAAUUGUAUACGUUUGCAUGGUAGGCGAAUUGCUCAAUUUUUCUAAAUUUUUCAGGUUUAUGAAAAACGGCGUAAAGCGCUUAAAGUCGUAUAUCACGAGAAAGCUUGAUUUUUCGACGCAAGUGUCAAUAUCUUGUCGCCAAUAAAAAUUAGGACAUUCGAGAAAUACUGUGACGAACUUGCACUAUAAAAAUAGAAACGUUACGAGGAAUAUAAUUUCCUCAGGAAAUUCGACAAUAAAUUUGUAAUUAUUUGAACCGGUAAUUAAAGUACGCGAAUGGGAAUAAUUUAAGUUCCAAGAAAUUUUUCAAGCCUGUAAUUCAGUAAAUUUAUUUUCGCGAGACACGAGCUAUUACAAUUACAUAAUCCACGUACAAACCAGUUUGGAUAUCAAUUUAUAUAGUUCGUGGACUCGUCGUUAGUCUUUCUGCGAGAGGAAGAGAAGAGGGGGAGGGGGAGAGAGAUAGUUUUCCAGAAAUUACAACAGAAAUAAAAGAAUAAAGAACCGUUCCUGUCGUUUAUCUCGUGGCACGCUUCGAUUUCAUUUUCCUCGACUUUUUUAGCCCCAUUACUUUUAAACGCGACUGGCAUUAACUGCGAAAUCGGCCGACAUUAAGGGCAUACUCUGCAACAAAGAGAAUUAUCUCCUCUCGCAGCAAGAGAAAGAAUCAUUGUUAGGUGUUCCAGAACAGAGAAAAAGAGGGAAUCUCGACGUCUGCGUAAAUGCAAGACACUUUAAUCUAAAGCCGAGUCCGUCAACUUUCUCUCUUUUCUUUCGACGACUGUUAUUCUUCAACAAUUUCUGCUCGAGGAUUCUCCAAUUCGCAAAGCGUAUAAUUAUUGCUUUUACUUUGUAACGGAGAAAAAUUUCAUCGGAAUGGAUUUCGAACACUUUCCUUUGAUUCCGUCGAUAAGAUAGUAUACCGUCAUUAGCGAGCACAAUUCAACAACCUUAAAAUGCCAAAAGGCCUAAACAAAGGUUACGAGGGAAGAAAGGACAAAGAAAGGAUGACACGAGACUACGCGAAGGAAGAGUGGCAUUCUCUGAAGAUAAGGCAGCACACCGUGGUAUCUGGUCCGGAAAAGUCGCGUGGACGGAAGAGAAAAAGUCUUGUUCCUCUGAUUGUCGAGGGCCGUGAUUCGCAAUUGCAAAAACCGAUCCAAUUAUUCCACGAAUGCCGGGGACGGGUUGCAUUUAUCGGUCCCGUUGAUGCAGCGACCCAAGCGCCACGUAACGAUUAAAUUCGGUAACAAACGCAAUUCUUUCUGUGAUCAAACAGAAGAACUUCAAUACGACAUAGCUGAAAAUACGAAACAAGACGAAAGGGAGAUUUUACUAUCUCAACGUGCGUUGUCCUCGUUUCCUCUUCUUUCACGCUCCACAUAAAUGGCCAAAGAAUUCAACGAAUGUCUCGUUGUUUUUCAUCGGUCUUAUUAGGAUAUCAAAUUGCUUAGACGAUUACAGCGACAAUUAGGGAAAUUCUGACAGGAAAUUCCCCAGAAUGUAAGGAUGAUUGUGAACUAGGCGCUACUGAACAGGCGACUAGAUGUUUAUGCAUUCAUAGGGAUAACAACAAACUGUCUAAAGUAUAAAUCACUAUAUCUGCUAAAUCGCUAAAUCGCGUGCCAAACGAACCAAUCAAUCUCCUAGACACAAAAAUUCCUCCACCCUAAAUCUUUUACCAACCUAUCAAUAAAAAGUCGAAUCUGUCAACCAUGGUAGCCCCAAGAAAGCAUCACACAACGAACUUUGAACGAUCGACUAGAAACGCGGAUAUGACCGAGUUCCCGGGGUUUGUCCGGUGCUUUCAGUCUGGACCGUAUUUAAAAUCCCUAGGGACGUGUUCCUCGCGGGCGCUCCCCUUACAGCAAAUAUUUUCCCAUCGGCCUGGAAGUCGCUUGUUACCUUGUCCAGUGGCUUCUUUUCGAUUGACAAAGGGUUGCCUUUCGUUUGAAUCCAGGGUUGAACGAGGGUGUGACUGUCGAAGAAAAGGGGGAGUGGGGGGAAAAAAAGAAGAGAAAUCACGCGGUAGUGGCUACGCGUGGCUGUUGUUCGAGGAAGAUAGCGGACGCGAGUGGUUAUUAAAGGAGGCAGAAAGGGAGAGGACGAUAAGAAAGAAGGGCAGGGUGGACGUGAAUGGCGAUGUAAAUGGCGUAGCGUCGCCAGUGAAAGGGAAAAGGGAAGAAAACCGUGAUAAGUGUGAAGACGACGGAGGAGAGAAUGAAAGAGAGAUAAGAAGAUUUCCAAAGCCCAACACGAUAAGAAAUCAGGCCAGAGACUGAAAGACCCAUGAUGCUGAUCCUGUUAAUGAAAAAAAAGAAACUAUAUUGCCGACGGAGGGUUAAAAAGAUUGCACUUGUGCGAGAUUAAAAAUAUCCUGUGUUCUACGUGGGAAAUAAAAGGAAAUUUCUAUCAGUUUCUCGGUCGACUCCUUAUCGAAGAAUCAAUCUCGCGUCCAAGUGUUCCCGUGUAAGCAAGAGGAAGGGUUCUCCGGUUUCACUUCGACUCACACCACCGCGGCACACGCUGUUGCCGUUCUCUCGUCCCUUUGCCUGUACUAAACCAAAGAAGAAGUCGAAACCAAAUCGUCGUACGCUCGUCUGAAAGGUUCCUAGUCCUUUAGGAGUCGAGGUUGAUCGAUCGUUUCGAUUAGAAGAAAAAGAAAAAAAAAAGAAGAAGAGAAGAUAAAGAAGAAAAGAAAGAAAAAAUGAAGAGGAAGAAGGGUGAGGUGAAAUAACGAGUACCGGCUGAGAACGUCGCGAAAUAUGAUUCAUUCCUGUUCCGUUACCAAUGAUAACUCAUGCAUAUUGAACGGCAGGGGGUCUGAUUUGUUCUGUGAGUCAGUCAUUGCACGCGUCGCGGCGCCUGCACCGUGUCACGCCGUCGCUCCAGGCUCGUGUAUUGGUAUACCAGGAACGGGGAUGAAUAAGGGCGCGCAGGGUCGCUUUUAUCGAGCCUGGAUCGCCUGAGCACUUUAACUUUCAAACAGAAAGAGAGAGAGAGAGAGAGAGAGAGAGAGAGAGAGAGAGAGAAUCGGUGCGCCUCCGACGUCGUCGUUAAUUAGGUCGGCGACGACGUACCUCC